GACGAACGCUGGCGGCGUGCUUAACACAUGCAAGUCGAACGGAAAGGCCUUUUCGGCGGUACUCGAGUGGCGAACGGGUGAGUAACACGUGGGUGAUCUGCCCUGCCCUCUGGGAUAAGCCUGGGAAACUGGGUCUAAUACCGGAUAGGACCGCACUUCAGAGUGUGUGGGGGAAAGGUUUUUCGGUGUAGGAUGAGCCCGCGGCCUAUCAGCUUGUUGGUGGGGUAAUGGCCUACCAAGGCGGCGACGGGUAGCCGGACUGAGGGGUUGGUCGGCCACAUUGGGACUGAGAGACGGCCCAGACUCCUACGGGAGGCAGCAGGGGGGAAUAUUGCCCAAUGGGCGCCAGCCGGGUGCAGCGACGCCGCGUGGGGGAGGACGGCCUUAGGGUUGUAAACUCCUUUCGCCAGGGACGAAGCGUUUUGUGACGGUACCUGGAGAAGAAGCACCGGCUAACUACGUG
rnacentral:rRNA from 1 species